rnacentral:rRNA from 1 species
UUGUAAAGCUCUUUUAGUCGGAAAGAAAGGAUUGCAACGAAUAAUUGUGAUUUAUGACGGUACCGACAGAAAAAGCACCGGCUAACUACGUGCCAGCAGCCGCGGUAAUACGUAGGGUGCGAGCGUUAAUCGGAAUUACUGGGCGUAAAGGGUGCGCAGGCGGUUUUGCAAGUCAGAUGUGAAAGCCCCGGGCUUAACCUGGGAAUUGCGUUUGAAACUACAAAGCUAGAGUGCAGCAGAGGGGAGUGGAAUUCCAUGUGUAGCAGUGAAAUGCGUAGAGAUGUGGAAGAACACCGAUGGCGAAGGCAGCUCCCUGGGUUGACACUGACGCUCAUGCACGAAAGCGUGGGGAGCAAACAGGAUUAGAUACCCUGGUAGUCCACGCCCUAAACGAUGCUCACUCGACGUACGGUAGGAAUAUUGUGCGUCCAAGCGAAAGCGAUAAGUGAGCCACCUGGGGAGUACGUCGGCAACGAUGAAACUCAAAGGAAUUGACGGGG